rfam:Otolemur garnettii contig052547, whole genome shotgun sequence.
GCUGGGCAUUGUGGCAGUUGCCUGUACUCCCAGCUACUCAGGAGGCUGAGGCAAGAGGAUCACUUGAUCCCAAUAGUUUGAGGUUGCUGUGAGCUAUGAUGUCACUGCACUCAACCCCAAGGUGACUGAGUGAGACUCUGUCUCUUAAAAAAAAACUCAAAACUAAGUUUGACAUCAAUAUGAUCACCUCCCCGGAGUGAGGGGCCACCAGGUUGCCUAAGGAAGGGUGCAUCGGCCAGGUGUGAAAUCGAGCAGGUCAAAUUCCUAGGCUGAUCAGUAGUGGGAUCUUGCCUGUGAAUAGCCACUGCACUCCAGCCUGGGCAACACAGUGAGAACCUGUGUCUC